CUGGGGAAUGAGUCUGCUAUGAUUUUCUUGCGAUUCUGACAUGUGCCAUUAACUUAGAAAACAAAGGAACAUGAGUUUGAAAUGAUUCGUUAACUUUAACUGCUAAAAGUUUGUGAUUUUGAUAUGGUUUCUUAACUUAGUCUUUAAACUCCAUACGAGUUACACAUGAUCUGUUAACUUCUCUUUUGAGAACCAUGAGUUUUAUAUGAUUUGUUAACUUUGUCAGAAUUGGUUGUAUGAUCCUGAAAUGGUUUGUUAACUUUGUCAUCUAUGAUAGGUGAAAAUGCAAGCUUUAAAUUCACUUUAACUUGGAGAAUCAAACAACAUGCAUACAUUAAUAAAAGUCUUAUUUAAAAGAAAACAGGAAAAUUAAGUUUUAAUAAUUAAAAUGCACACAGCAUGUACAGGUAUAGUAACAAAGACUAUAUUUUUUUUAAGUUGAAUGAAAUGACAAACAAAUUUAAUACAAUAAUUCAUAUUUAAAUUAGCACACAUGUAUUCUGUUUAAAUAACGCAGCCAGGUUUUAUUAAAACUCUUUCUCUUCAUGUAAUAUUUGUGAUCCACUCCCAAUCUAACUUUGAAGCAUUAGAUUAGGAUUGGAUCACUGGUCAGUUUCAGAGUCGUAGUAACCUUGUUAUGCAAUUCUCCUGCUGGGCAGCACGCUGUAGUACAGUGGUUUGUAGCUGAUCUAGGUCAGAAUUUGAAUUCUGAUAAACAUGAUGUGCGCGUUUUCUUGUUGCCGAUUUAAAAGAAAAGCCUUUGCAUCAUAUAAGCAAUAAAAAUAAGUGCUGGACUAUUAACUCUAUACUCGCUACAGACAUUUCCAUCUUCAUGAUUAACAUCUGAGUUGCAUUCAAAUUAACAAAUUCAAAAGACCCGCCUUUGGUGAAGACAAAAUUUGUGGUGCUUACGUACACAUAUAAAGAGCUUAUAUCAGAGGAUAGACUACUUCAUUGAGAGCCCUCUCAGUGUUUGUGAUUCUGAA